rnacentral:misc_RNA from 1 species
GAUGAAGAACGCAGCGAACGUGCGAAACGUAAUGUGAAUUGCAGAAUUCAGUGAAUCAUCGAAUCUUUGAACGCAUCUUGCGCUCCUUGGUAUUCCGAGGAGCAUGCCUGUUUGAGUGUCGUGAAUACUCUCAACUUCAACCCUUUUUUCGGAAAGGGAGGAAGGUUGGACUUGGGUGUUUGUUGAAGUGCGAGCUUCGACUCAUCCUAAAUGCAUUAGCGAUCUGCCUCGAUCACACACAAUGUGAUAAUUAAAACUAAAGCAUUGUUUAAUGAUCAAGUCGAGACUGCUUCUAACUGUCGCAAGACAAUAACGUGCAUACAUUUGUGCAUGUCAUUUGACCUCAAAUCAGGUAGGACUACCCGCUGAACUUAAGCAUAUCAAUAAGAGGAGGA